rnacentral:rRNA from 1 species
AUUGAACGCUGGCGGCAGGCCUAACACAUGCAAGUCGAACGGUAACAGAAAGCAGCUUGCUGCUUUGCUGACGAGUGGCGGACGGGUGAGUAAUGUCUGGGAAACUGCCUGAUGGAGGGGGAUAACUACUGGAAACGGUAGCUAAUACCGCAUAACGUCGCAAGACCAAAGAGGGGGACCUUCGGGCCUCUUGCCAUCGGAUGUGCCCAGAUGGGAUUAGCUUGUUGGUGGGGUAACGGCUCACCAAGUCGACGAUCCCUAGCUGGUCUGAGAGGCUGACAGGCCACAUUGGAACUGGGACAGGGACCAGACUCCUACGGGAGGGAGCAGUGGGGAACAUUGCACAAUGGGCGGAAGCCUGAUGCAGCCAUGCCGCGUGUAUGAAGACAGCCUUCGGGUUGUAAAGUACGUUCAGCGGGGAGGAAGGGAGUAAAGUUAAUACCUUUGCUCAUUGACGUUACCCGCAGAAGAAGCACCGGCUAACUCCGUG